AGAGUAGUCUGAAACGACCAGAAGAUCCACGGGGAUGGAAGUGUUCUGAAGGAGGAAGGUCCCCAGUGAAAAGGAAGGAUGAGUUUGAAGCAUUACUUUCCCUGCAGUUGCAGUGCAGUGCUCUAGGAAACAGGCUGGUAUCUGUCCUCUUCAUCCCACCUUGAUUUCCAGUGCUGGAGCCUGUGUAUCCCCAGUGAAGAUUCCUCCAGUGAGUUUGACUCUCACUGUGAAGAUACCACAGUCUAUCAACUCGCGAGCA